rnacentral:rRNA from 1 species
CAGUGGGGAAUUUUGCGCAAUGGGGGCAAGCCUGAUGCAGCAAUGCCGCGUGGAUGAUGAAGUCCUUAGGGUUGUAAAGUCCUUUCGCCGGGGAAGAUAAUGACGGUACCGGGAGAAUAAGCACCGGCUAACUUCGUGCCAGCAGCCGCGGUAAUACGAAGGGGGCUAGCGUUGUUCGGAAUUACUGGGCGUAAAGGGUGCGUAGGCGGUUUGACAAGUCUUGUGUGAAAUCUCUGGGCUCAACCCGGAAACUGCAUUGGAAACUGCCGGGCUUGAGUAUGGGAGAGGUGAGUGGAAUUUCCGGUGUAGCGGUGAAAUGCGUAGAUAUCCGAAGGAACACCUGUGGCGAAAGCGGCUCACUGGACCAUAACUGACGCUGAUGCGCGAAAGCUAGGGGAGCAAACA